rnacentral:rRNA from 1 species
CGAACGCUGGCGGCAUGCUUAACACAUGCAAGUCGAACGAAGUACCUGGCUUCGGCUGGGAUACUUAGUGGCACACGGGUGAAUACCGCCUGUGAAUCUACCUAAUACUGGGGAAUAACUAUGGGAAAACUAUAACUCAUACCGCAUACACCCUGAGGGGGAAAGGCUUCUGCCGCUAUUACAGGAGCCCGCGUCAGGUUAGGUAGUUGGUAGGGUAAAGGCCUACCAAGCCUAUGAUCUGUAACUGGUUUGAAAGGAUGAUCCUCCACACUGGAACUGAGACACGGUCCAGACUCCUACGGGAGGCAUCACUGGGGAAUAUUGGACAAUGGGGGAAACCCUGAUCCAACAAUGCCGCGUGAGUGAAGAAGGCCUUACGGUUGUAAAGCUCUUUCUGUAGGGACGAUGAUGACGGUACCUACAGAAUAAGCCCCGGCUAACUCCGUGCCAGCAGCCGCGGUAAGACGGAGGGGGCUAGCGUUGUUCGGAAUUACUGGGCGUAAAGGGCUCGUAGGCGGCCGAUCAAGUUACGCGUGAAAUCCCUGGGCUUAGCCCAGGAACUGCGUUUACUACUGAUUGGCUAGAGAUUGGUACAUGACAGUGGAAUUCCUAGUGUAGAGGUGAAAUUCGUAGAGAUUAGGAAGAACACCAGAUGCGAAGCCAACUUUCUGGGCCAAUACUGACCCUGAGGCGCUAAAGCUUGGGGAUCAAACUGGAUUAGAUACCCUGGUAGUCCACACGUGUGUUCGUAUGAGUGCUAGAAGUCGGCGGUUUAACCGUCGGUGUCGCAGCUCAUGCAUUAAGCACUCCGCCUGGGGAGUACGGUCGCAAGAGUAAAACUCAAAGGAGUUGUCGGGGGCUCGCACAAGCGGUGGAGCAUGUGGUUUAUUUUGAAGCAACGCGAAGAACAUUACCUGCCCUUGACAUGGGUAUCGCGGAGACAAGAGAUUGUUUCCUUCAGUUUGGGUGGAUCCACCACAGCUGCUGCAUGCCGUGUCGUCAGCUCGUGUCGUGAGAUGUUGGGUUAAGUCCUGCAACGAGCGCAACCCUCAUCUUCAGUUGCCAACAGGUUAUGUUGGGGACUCUGAAGAAACUGCCGGUGAUAAACCGGAGGAAGGUGGGGAUGACGUCAAGUCCUCAUGGCCCUUAUGGGCAGGGCUACACACGUGCUACAAUGGCAGCGACAGAGGGAAGCGAAGGGGCAACGUGGAGCCAACCCAUAAAAGCUGUCCCAGUUCGGAUUGUUCUCUGCAACUCGAGAGCAUGAAGUUGGAAUCGCUAGUAAUCGCAGAUCAGCAUGGUGCGGUGAAUACGUUUACGGGCCUUGUACACACCGCCCGUCACACCAUGGGAGUUGGUUUCACC